CUUUGAAAUAAAUACUAUUCUCAAAGGUCUAGCUGGGCAUUGGGUAUGAUGGCCUUGGAUUAUUAUUAUUAUUUUUCUCUUUGUUUCUCUUAAAUCUGGCCUGGCACCUUUCCUGGGAUGCUGUGACAAGCACUUUGGACCCAUUUGUGUUGCUGGGUGUGGCUUUGCCUGCACCUUCUCCUCACAAGGGAAGGCAAGAGCUGAAACUGGGAGAGGUAUAGCAGCCUUUGACCUUGCACGACCCUGGUCUAUGACUCACUCGCUGGACUCCCUGGCUGGUCCCAUUCCUGAUGGAGAGAUGCCAGAGCUGACAUGGAAACCACACAGACCUGAGAGGAAGGCUGAAGCCGGGAGUUGCAAGUGAACUCUCACAGCACUGGAUACAAGGUGACAGGAAGCCACUGGAAAAAGAGCCAGCUACUGAGUGAUCCGGUGAAGAAAUCAGAAACCUGCACCUGCCAAGCCAGGAAUGAGUCCAACACGCCCUAUGGGACUGACACCUGGCUGCCCAGGUAAAGUGUCCAGAUGCCCCAGGCCAAGGGAGGUGAACACUGAAGGAAGUUUCCAGAAAGACCAAUGUGAGGAAGUAGAACAAACA